GUCCACGCCGUAAACGAUGAGUGCUGGAUGUCGGGGGGUAUUCACCCCCUCGGUAUCGAAGCUAACGCGAUAAGCACUCCGCCUGGGGAGGUACGGCCGCAAGGUUGAAACUCAAAGGAAUUGACGGGGGCCCGCACAAGCGGUGGAGUAUGUGGUUUAAUUCGACGCAACGCGAAGAACCUUACCCAGCCUUGACGUCCUUGGAACCUGGUGGAAACACCGGGGUGUCCUCGCAAGAGGAAGCCAAGAGGCAGGUGCUGCAUGGCUGUCGU
rnacentral:rRNA from 1 species